AGAUAAAGUAAGUGCUCUUUGGGCUAGCAGGAUCUCCUCUUGUAGUCUGCAGCCCAGGACGCUGAUUCCAGCAGCGCCUUACCGCGGAACCCGAAGAUUCACUAUGGUGAAAAUCGCCUUCAAUACCCCCACCGCCGUGCAAAAGGAGGAGGCGCGGCAAGACGUGGAGGCCCUCCUGAGCCGCACGGUCAGAACUCAGAUACUGACCGGCAAGAGCACCAUUUACCGUGGAGAGAUGUGCUUUUUUGAUUCUGAGGAUCCUGCAAAUUCCCUUCGUGGAGGAGAGGCUAACUUCCUGCCUGUGACUGAGGAGGCUGACAUUCGUGAGGAUGACAACAUUGCAAUCAUUGAUGUGCCUGUCCCCAGUUUCUCGGAUAGUGACCCUGCAGCAAUUAUUCAUGACUUUGAAAAGGGAAUGACUGCUUACCUGGACUUGUUGCUGGGGAACUGCUAUCUGAUGCCCCUCAAUACUUCUAUUGUUAUGCCUCCAAAAAAUCUGGUAGAGCUCUUUGGCAAACUGGCG
rnacentral:sRNA from 1 species